AGACCUACUGCAGCCACGCGGGCGAGCGGCUGUGUGGAUGUCGGCGAAGCCGCGGGCGAGAUCACCUCUUAGGCAGAGCAGUGGGCGCAGAUGCCAUGGCGGGAAGCAGGCCUUUCUGAAUUCUUAGCAGCGAUCUCCAGGGGCACUCUAACCUUGCAAGAAAGAGGCUGCCAGUCUUGCAUCAGAUGCAGAAACCAGGGCGCAGAGUAGCCUGCCCCUCCUGUGACUUCCCCGUCUCGGGAAAUGGCACCAUCAUCAUCUACCUGGUGGCUCCGGCCAGAAAACAGGGAGGCAUCUUUGGAUCAUCUCACCCUCACCACCCACACCCGGGCCACCACCAAGACUCUUCAAUUCUACCUCCAAAAUAAAUCCCUACCCCACUUCCCUCUGUUCUCGUUGCCACCCCUGUGUCAAGCCAUCACCAGCUUGGCCCUGGAGGCCAGCACAGCCUCCUUCCCGCCUCCCUGCCUCCUCUCUACCCCCAACAGCCAGAAUAACUUGCAGAAAAUGUAAAUCAGGCCCCAUCUCAUUCUCCUUCUUAAACCGCCCCUUUCCCCAAGGGCUUCCUAUUGCAUUUGCACCAAAAUCGACACCCCCCAAAUAGCUCUGAGGUUCACCAUGACCUGGUGCUGCCUCACCUCCUCCAAUUUCACUGUCCCCUAGUUCUUUUCCCCUGGAAUCUGUGUGUUUGCAUAAGCUGUUCCCUUUGCCUGGAUGCUCUUCCCUGCAAUUCUUUCCCCACUGGUCCCUUCUCAUACUUUAGGUCUCAGCUGGGAGCUUACUUAAACUUUUUUGUUUGAGAUGGAGUCUCAUGCUGUCACCCAGGCUGGGUGACAUAGUACCUAGAAGAGGAGAUGACAUAUUGAUGGAAUUUAAUAAAUGGGCUUAUUGAAU
rnacentral:lncRNA from 1 species